rnacentral:rRNA from 1 species
CUCCUCCUAAAGAGUAACGGAGGAGCACGAAGGUUGGCUAAUCCUGGUCGGACAUCAGGAGGUUAGUGCAAUGGCAUAAGCCAGCUUGACUGCGAGCGUGACGGCGCGAGCAGGUGCGAAAGCAGGUCAUAGUGAUCCGGUGGUUCUGAAUGGAAGGGCCAUCGCUCAACGGAUAAAAGGUACUCCGGGGAUAACAGGCUGAUACCGCCCAAGAGUUCAUAUCGACGGCGGUGUUUGGCACCUCGAUGUCGGCUCAUCACAUCCUGGGGCUGAAGUAGGUCCCAAGGGUAUGGCUGUUCGCCAUUUAAAGUGGUACGCGAGCUGGGUUUAGAACGUCGUGAGACAGUUCGGUCCCUAUCUGCCGUGGGCGCUGGAGAACUGAGGGGGGCUGCUCCUAGUACGAGAGGACCGGAGUGGACGCAUCACUGGUGUUCGGGUUGUCAUGCCAAUGGCACUGCCCGGUAGCUAAAUGCGGAAGAGAUAAGUGCUGAAAGCAUCUAAGCACGAAACUUGCCCCGAGAUGAGUUCUCCCUGACUCCUUGAGAGUCCUGAAGGAACGUUGAAGACGACGACGUUGAUAGGCCGGGUGUGUAAGCGCAGCGAUGCGUUGAGCUAACCGGUACUAAUGAACCGUGAGGCUUAACCUUACAACGCCGAAGGUGUUU